AACUUGAAUAGAGAGUCUGAAAGAUCACUAUUCAUAAGAGAACUCUUCAUCAUGGCCGUUCAUUUCAAUUUUUUUUUGUCCCACUUUGCCUUCAAUCAAUCUUGGUCGUUCAUCUUUUUUCUACAGCAUUGGGCUGACACAAAGAGAGGUCAGCAGUGUUUUCUUUCACGUUUACUCUGCCUCUGACCUGAACGAUCUUGUCGAAGAAGGAGGUGUUGUACGAGAAGAGCUUUUGCGAUGGUCUCUGGUCACCGUGUAAGGUUUCCCUUUCUUCUCCCUUUCACUUCUGACAGCCGACGUGUGCACAUGAGGAUGGAGGAGUACAAGAGUUGUUGAUGAAAUUAUCAAUUUCUUGGUUGAUUUUCGUCACCCUAUAUAGAGUUAGGUUGGAAUUUGAUGGAGAAAGCAAGAAGAAUGAGAAGAGAUGAUGAUGGAAAGUACGGAAUUUUCGUCACCAUGGAUAUUGUUAGGUCAGAAUCACAAUCAGAAGGAGAAGAGAAAAGGACCAAGUUUUCAUUGUGAAUGGUUAGGUGAGGAAGCUAAGAUGACUUGAUAGAUCAUCAUCCUUGCAUAAUAGUUCCCGAUAUUGGAAGGAAGAGGGAAGAUGAUGAUGGAUUGAGAAGGAGUGUUGUCAGGUGUGGAUAAGAAGAAACAGAGAAGAUGAUGGACUCUUUCGUCAUUGAUUUCUGCCUUGUCAUCGUCGGAUCACAUCAGAUUGCUAUGUUUAUUUGAGCUUUGAGGCCCCGCAGAUAAGAUAGGAGGUUGCACCAUGUAAUAUUAUCCCAUUAAUGUUUCUCCUUCCUGGGCAGCUGGGUUGGCAUUAUAUGUUAGCUUUCAAUUUGCCCCACCAUGUAUUACUUGAUCGGUAUCACUUCCUGGUAUGUUGAAUGUAGGUGCUGUUGCUGCCAAAUAAUCAAGAUGGGAGGUACUUGAGUAAUAUAGCAGGAAGAAGGUGGAUUCAUAUGAGAUCAGUGACUCAUGGAGUUGGGCCUAUAAGGAUAAUCUAUACGCACAAGGGGUUUGUUGGGAAAUUUUAAUGAUUUCUUUGUAACUCAUAUUUGUUCUCUUCUUUUGUGCUUCUCUAUGUUUGUAUUAGGUUCAAGUUCCCUUUAUACUUCAUUUUAACAAAUCUUUGGCUUAUUAAAAGAAAACUGCAUUUUAAUGAUCUAUUUUCUAAUCAUGACUUUUAAUCCGUGAACCAACUACAUUUCAAUGUUCUUUUUUUCGAAGCAUUCUUUUUAGUGCAUUUUGUUUGUGAUCCAUUUGACUUGGAAGUAUAGGAAUGUGGUUACAUUGCAAUGGCUAUUUCCAAAACGUAUAUAUGGAGUCACUGGGUACAGUGUUGAGUUGUUCCUAACAAAUGUGCUUUAAUCUCACCUCAGUGUGUCUGGUAGUGUGUGGUCGUUGGUUUCUAAUGACUAAAAUGGUUACCAAUUGUUGAUAAGGAUUUAAUGUUGAAUAUUGGCUUUAUAGCCCCAUGGUUUCAAUAAUAUGCUAUGUAGUCAUCAUUAAGCAUGGUUGAUGCUAUGUAGGCUUGCAACUUUGUCUUGUCUAUACAACUUAUCGAUUUCAAAUAUAGUUAAUUUUGAUUGCAUUUCUGGUUUUGAAACUUUGGUUGCUAUGUUUGAUGCAGUUGGCAGUUUUAGUGAGCACAAUGUGGCAAGAUCAUAAUUGCCAUCUCAAGUGUUGAUCUUCAAGGCUGCAUAUAAGGUUUCAUUUCUGAUGCCUAGAAAAAUUAUACCCAAAUUGGAGCUUUCAUCUCCACCCAAAUCAAUUAUCCUUCAUUCCAAUCACCAUACCACAUGAUGGCCUACUUGCUGGCUCUGAAACAACUGCAGACUUUCCUUCCUCAGUGCAUUCCCUUCUUUUGGGAUCGAUUUAGCCUCAUGCAGGGAACUAUAUCUCGAAGAAAAGGGCACAACCACAAGUCACUAAAAGUUGUGAAGGUUCAGUGGCAAAAACCUUUCCUUUGUACUGUAGGCCAGUUACAGGGGGCAUGGACAAAAACCCUGUCUCCAGUAUCUUAAGGCCUAUGCAUCACUCUUUCCAGCAUCAAGUAAUUGUAUUUCAACUGCAGCAUCAUUAGUAAUGUAUUGAUUAGGGGUUUUUGUUUAGUGAGAGGGAGUGCAUCUCAUGUAUACUAGACUGGAUGGUAUGUUAUGUGCGUUUCCAGAUGUUGUAAUAGUAACCAAAAUAAAAUUAACCAGUGUUCCCAAGUUACAGUAUGGUGGUCACUGAAAUUCUUAUUGUUUAAGAUUAAAAGAAAGUGAUUUUACAAUUGUGUGAAAAAAAGAUUUUUUUAACUUUUAAGAGCUUUUAUGUGAAGUAGAAAAUCGGAGGUUGUUAGAUGUUCACAAUCACAUUGAACUUAUAGUCUCAUUUGUACACUCUCUUAAGUUAUAUUUGGUGACUCUGAAAUUUUCCAAUCAUA